UGAACCUCAGACAGCGGUCCGGGCCCUGGAGCCUUCAGGAAGUGGACGAACAGCCGCAGCACCCGCUGCAUGUCACCUGCACGGGGUGGCGGUGGACGAGCGGAGCACCGUGCCCGAUCCCACCCAGGUGAAGAACAGACCCACCAGCAUUUCGUGGGAUGGUCUUGAUUUAGGGAAACUCUACACCUGGGUCUUGACAGACCCGGAUGCUCCAAGCAGGAAGGAUCCCCAAUACAGGGAAUGGCAUCAUUUCCUGGUGGUCCACAUGAAGGGCAGUGACAUCAGCAGUGGCACAGUCCUCUCCGGAUUAUGUGGGCUCGGGGUCUCCCAAGGCACAGGCCGCUGAAAUGUGACGAGCCCAUCCUCAGCAACCGCUCCGGAGACCACCGUGGCAAAUUCAAGGUGGCGUCCCCCCGUAAAAAGUACGCGCUCGGGGUCCCGGUGGCCGGCACGUGUUACCAGGCCGAGUGGGACGACUAUGUGCCCAAAUUGUAGGAGCAGCUGUCUGGG
rnacentral:lncRNA from 1 species